rnacentral:rRNA from 1 species
GUGGGGAAUCUUGCGCAAUGGGCGAAAGCCUGACGCAGCCAUGCCGCGUGAAUGAUGAAGGUCUUAGGAUUGUAAAAUUCUUUCACCGGGGACGAUAAUGACGGUACCCGGAGAAGAAGCUCCGGCUAACUUCGUGCCAGCAGCCGCGGUAAUACGAAGGGGGCUAGCGUUGCUCGGAAUUACUGGGCGUAAAGGGCGCGUAGGCGGACAGCUUAGUCAGAGGUGAAAGCCCAGGGCUCAACCUUGGAAUUGCCUUUGAUACUGGCUGUCUUGAGUACGGGAGAGGUGAGUGGAACUCCGAGUGUAGAGGUGAAAUUCGUAGAUAUUCGGAAGAACACCAGUGGCGAAGGCGACUCACUGGCCCGUUACUGACGCUGAGGUGCGAAAGCAUGGGGAGCAAACAGGAUUAGAUACCCCUGUAGUCC